GACGAACGCUGGCGGCGUGCUUAACACAUGCAAGUCGAGCGGUAAGGCCCUUCGGGGUACACGAGCGGCGAACGGGUGAGUAACACGUGGGUAACCUGCCCUGUACUCUGGGAUAAGCCU
rnacentral:rRNA from 1 species